UUAACUUAUUAUAUAGUACUCAGACGACAUUAAAACAUAGAAUUUUGGGGUCUCUGGCCGGGGCCCGAAGGCUGACCGACCAAAGCAACAAGUCGCAGGACCGUUCCGGUGAUGCGUCUACCGUAUCGCUACGGCUUUCACAUACCUUUCCGGGCCUGCUAAAAUAACACAGGGUGGGAGGUCUACCCCGAAGGGCAUGAACUCUGUAAUGAUCCUUCCGCUGGUUCACCAACGGAAA
rnacentral:misc_RNA from 1 species